CCUACGGGUGGCAGCAGUGAGGAAUAUUGGUCAAUGGGCGCAAGCCUGAACCAGCCAAGUCGCGUGAGGGAAGACGGCCCUACGGGUUGUAAACCUCUUUUGCCGGGGAGCAAGCCUGAGCACGUGUGCCCAGGCGGAGAGUACCCGGAGAAAAAGCAUCGGCUAACUCCGUGCCAGCAGCCGCGGUAAUACGGAGGAUGCGAGCGUUAUCCGGAUUUAUUGGGUUUAAAGGGUGCGUAGGCGGAAGGUUAAGUCAGCGGUCAAAUGUCGGUGCUCAACACCGGCCUGCCGUUGAAACUGGUCUUCUUGAGUGAGCGAGAAGUAUGCGGAAUGCGUGGUGUAGCGGUGAAAUGCAUAGAUAUCACGCAGAACUCCGAUUGCGAAGGCAGCAUACCGGCGCUCAACUGACGCUGAGGCACGAAAGCGUGGGGAUCGAACAGGAUUAGAUACCCUGGUAGUC
rnacentral:rRNA from 1 species